rnacentral:tRNA from 1 species
GGCAGGGUGGCUCAGUGGUACGGCGGAGGAUUGCAAAUCCUUUAUUCGCGAGUUCGAGUCUCGCCCCGGCCUCCA